rnacentral:rRNA from 1 species
AUUGAACGCUGGCGGCAGGCUUAACACAUGCAAGUCGAGCGGGGAAAUAUAGCUUGCUAUAUGACCUAGCGGCGGACGGGUGAGUAAUGCUUAGGAAUCUGCCUAUUAGUGGGGGACAACAUUUCGAAAGGGAUGCUAAUACCGCAUACGCCCUACGGGGGAAAGCAGGGGAUCUUCGGACCUUGCGCUAAUAGAUGAGCCUAAGUCGGAUUAGCUAGUUGGUGGGGUAAAGGCCUACCAAGGCGACGAUCUGUAGCGGGUCUGAGAGGAUGAUCCGCCACACUGGGACGGAGGCACGGCCCAGACUCCUACGGGAGGCAGCAGUGGGGAAUAUUGGACAAUGGGGGGAACCCUGAUCCAGCCAUGCCGCGUGUGUGAAGAAGGCCUUUUGGUUGUAAAGCACUUUAAGCGAGGAGGAGGCUCCUGUAGAUAAUACCUACAGUGAGUGGACGUUACUCGCAGAAUAAGCACCGGCUAACUCUGUGCCAGCCGCCGCCGUAAUAC